rnacentral:lncRNA from 1 species
GUAGCUGUUGACAGACUCUGAAGCGCCAUUUCCAGUGGGAAUUAAGCAAGGUACACUAAGAAGAAAGGUUUAUUUUUCUAUUCUUUCUUUCUCUUUCAUUUUUUUCUUCUGUUUAUUGCUUGUUUUAUUUUUAAAUUUACUAUAUAAGGAAUAGAAAAGGAAUAGAUUUCUCAUAAAGGAAUAGAAAAAAAAAAACACUCUUAUAAUACUCAACAAGGCAAAGCAAAACAAUGCCCCGCCUAAAUAAAUACCACACAAACAAACAAAAAACUCCAUAAACUUGGCCAAAGAUACUGUCACUCUAUAGUACUUGUUACAUUUUAACAGCAAUUCAUUUUAUUACAGUAUACACAUGGUACAAUUAAUAUAAUUUUGGUAUCUCAUCUUCUCAGUUCUCUGUCAAUUGCCUGUACUUAAUCUCUACCCUUGUCAUUGCAUUAUCCUGUGUAGUUCAGAUAUAGAAAUGUGUUCCAUGACAGAAGGAACAAGGAACAGCAGAUAUAGGAAAGAGUAAAUAAUGUCAAGGAAAAAGUAAAAAGUCAUUAGUCAGCAGUAAAACAAAUUAUCUCUGGGUACCUAUUGUGAGGGAAAGCCCAUGCGAAAUGACUAUAUUGUUAGGGGGUUACAAAUUGUGAAAUGCUAAAGACUGUGUAUAAAAAAAAACAAGAAAAAUGUCAUUUGGAUACAAAGGAAAUUAUUCAAUAUUAAGAAAUGCUUAAAAGGGUCCCAAUUAAUAGCUAUAAUAAAAAUAAACAAAUGAAUAAAAGUUGAACCAGACUUUCUCCAGUCCUCUUUGUCCUCUGAUCCUAUUGAAUCCACAAUGCGCAGAAGCCACCAGCUUUGAUAAAUCUGUAUUAUCACUGAUAAUAUUUCUAAAUGUUUUGAAUUCUGAACAUUUCUGAAUUUGCUACUGAGUUCUAGAUCAACGGAGAUAUGAUAUGCUGAUUGACUAAAUGCUGGUAACAAAACUCAAUAUAUUUGAAUAUAUGUUUUGUGAUUUCUUAUUCAGAGUCCAAUUCUAGCAGAAGUCUCUGGUUUCUCCAUAAAACUUUAUUCGUAAAGAUGUUUACUCAGAAAUUACAGCCCUGAUUUUAGUGGAUGAUCCCAGGAGUGGCCUUAAUGUGUCAUACCUGUGGCUCAUGGUUCAUGGCAACAUAGUUCCCACAAGAUCCUGGAAAGUCAGUCAUUAGCAGAAAAAUAAUGUUUGAUUUUUACUGUAAGUUCUGCUAGCGCAAGGACCGCAUCUUUUUUCUAUAGAGUUAUUUGCAUGGUGCUGAGUAGAGUGACUGUUACAUACUAUGUAGCUAUUAAGUGAAUAAACUAAUUCAAAUUCCCUGGGCUACCACUCCUCUGAGCUAGGAAGAGUCUAAAGAAAUAUCAACAAAGCUCAGUACAUAAUAGGACAGACUCAGGAAACUAUUCAAAGGCUGUUUCUGAUAUUAAAAAGAUGUGAACAUAAGAGUAAUAACCUUUCCUGUCCUUAACUUUUUCAUCUAUAAAACGUAGCAAAUUGGAAGAAAUGAUUUGAAUGUUCCCUCCAGCUGCAACAAUCUAGGAGUUUCUAAUUAAAAUUAAGAAGCAGAAAGAUAAAUGAAAGGACAGAGAUCAAUAAUUUUCAGAUAGAAAAAGACCUCAAGGCUUAUUCAAACAAACUGUAUCCUGACCAUGGACCACUGACAACCAACUCCCAGCAUGAAACAUUAAUUCUAUUUUAGCAGCUGGAGAUGGGUAUGUGGCGGUCAACCUGACCAAAGGUAUGUCUGGUCAAAAAGCACUGAAAGCAACAAGUCUUAUAAGCAGCAACUGCCCUGAAACUCACGGCUAUUUCCACACAAUUAGAGUGAUAAGGGUUUGAUGAACUUUUGGCAUUUCUGUAUUCCCCUGCUCCAGACACAAAUGGAUUGUAUUAUUACUGAUUGUGUCUUCUAAAGACAUAUCUAAAAAGCAAAACAGGAUUUAUCUCUUGAGUCUAUAAUAUUAUUAUUAUUAUUAUUAUUAUUAUUAUUAUUGAAGUUAAUUGUUGCCUAAUAAGGUUGUCUAAGUAAAAACUCCUUCAUUUCCUUCCUACUCUCAAAAGUUUAUCAAACAAGAGUCUGAUAUAAAUGUAAAACAAUCAAAUCAUUAUUAAGGGCUUUUAUUAUUUAUCCUUUGAAACUUGUAAUUGACUAUCAUUUGUCUUUUCACUGCAAUAUGUAUAUUUUAAUGUAUUUAUAGAUAAUGACAGAAAAGAUAAGAUGAGGUUCAUGCACAGAGAAAAAUUUAAUUUGCCUGGAAAUAUUUUUAUUUUCCAGCUUUAAUUGGGUAAUUGCAUUAUGUUUCUUUUUCCCCUCAGGUGUACAUACUUCUUAGUACUUCUCAAAUAGUAGGAAUUAAAUUUACACCAAAAUCUUAUUUAUCUUGACUGAAUCCCCAUGUCCCAGUUGAAACAGCAUGCUAUCAAACAUGUAUAGCUAUCACACUUUUGAAGGAAAGCUGUUAAAAAUGUGCAUUGAAAUGCUAACAGUUUGAGAAAUAAAAUGAAUCUGAAGUUCUUUUUUCUUAGCGGUUUUGUCCAAAGUAACUCUCUUUCAAUUAUAAGCACUAAUGUUUCUUUAACAAUUCUCAGUUCAGUAUACCCCAACCCCCCUGCCUUCUUUUCCUUCUCAUCCUGUGUCUGUAGCUGCCUGGCAACUUUUCUGUGUGGAAAGGCAGCGUAAGCAGUCCAAGUAAGCCCUUGGAAUGAUAGCUGCAGAAAAUCCUAGCAACCUGGCUCUCAGGCCAACUCUACACACAUCACUUCAUGAGAGGCACUGCCGGGCUUGGUUUGUUUAGACACACAUCCUCCCCUAACAUGACUUUCAGGCAUGUAGUGUAUGACUUAUUACCAUCUAUGGUAAAAACAACAACAAAAACAACAACAACACCCAAUAGCAAAAGAAAAUAAUCAAAUUAUCAGACAUGAAAUCUGAUGUUUGAUUACACGUAUGCAAAGCAUGGCUCUAAUUGAGAAGUGUAAGAUUACCACUGACUGAUAAUUAAUAUUCGUGUGUUGAUUUAGACCAGAAAGUAAGAAUGAUUGGUUCUACUUUGUUUAAUUUAUCUCAAUGAAAGUUUUCAUAACAUUCUAUAGUUUGAUGAAUUAAUUUAUUUAGGUUGUCAGUGUUAAUCACCCUGAUUAGAAUGAAGAAAUUAUAAUGGGCCAUAGAAACAAACAGAAUUUGAAGAGUAACUCUUGCCUUUCUUUCUUCACUAGUAAUAUAAUUUAUUAAUUCCCUUUCUCACUAACGUAUAUAUGAUGGUGAAUAAAGUAUUUCAUAGAAAAUUAUACUUACACUUCCCUUUUAUUUAUAGUCCAUUAUAACGUGAUGGUCAUUCAAAACCUGGACAUGAAUUAUUUAAUUUUAAAAUUCCUAUUUGGUCUAUACUUUUAUAAGCCUCAUUAGAUUCUGAUAAAAACUAUCUCUUUUCAUGAAUUGGUCAUUUUCAAUGAAGAGCUACAAUAUGUAAGUGAUUUGAUGUGAGAAAAUUUUAUUAAUUUUAUUUUGGCAUUGUCCUUAUUUCAGCUUUAGACCAUGUGUCUAUCAAUAAAUGAUAAAUAUGUGCCUAUUUUAAUUAUUGAAUAUGUUUAUUAUGUAUUAUUAUGGCUUUGUGGUAUGAAUCCAUGUCCUUAUUAUAAUUUUGUUUUUAAAAAUAUGCUUGACAUGCAUCCAAAUGUAUGUGUUAUGUCCACUUGACCACUGAAACAUUCCUAAGCAUCCAUUCUUCUACUCAAUUCCUCUGAAGUUUUUAUACCAUUUAGGUCUUUGUUAGUAACAUCUAUUCACAUUCCUAAAAUAAGUCCCCAAUUUUAUUUUAUAGAUAAAUUGAUACUAAACACAAGUAAUCACCUUUCAUUGGUGUGCACGCUAACCUAUUACUUAGUAAUUAACCUUCCACAAUUAGUACCCCUAAUUUACACCACAAUUUUGAGUCCUGUAUCAUUCACAUAUGGCAAUUUGAUUUGUGAUCACUAAAAAUAAAAAAAAAAUUAUUUGCUGUAUUAUUCUGAUCGCAAUAUGUGGACAAUGCAUCCUUGAUUUUCUUCUAUUCAGGGCAGUUAAAAAGUAAAGCAGAUGAUGUAAAAGAGAUCAUAUGGUUUUUACUCUGCCUAAUUUACUUAGUAGUUUUAUUAUUAGGAGGCACUACAUAUUUAGAAUGCAGCAUAUUUAGAAUAUACAUUAGAAUACAAAAUCUGCUGGGUAUUCACUUCUCUGAUUAUCUUUCAUAACUUUUCCCUUUUAAGAGUUGACAGUGGAAUCCAGAGCUGGUACAUACAUUGCAGAAGCAAAUGAGUCACUGAUUUUCAGUCAUCGAACUUGAGUACAUGGUAAGUCUUUGGUUGUUCUGUUCCUGGCUGCUUUCUUCUACCUUGCAAUUUUGAGAUGGGAGGCAAUUGGUGAUAAUGAUAGAGAAGAAGCAGAAUCUGGAUGUCCUUAGCAUGGUUUGUUAGCACUCUUCAUUUCAUUGCCAAGACUUUAAGUGGAUAUAGAUUUCCUAAUAGCUGACCUCCUAGUUGACUGAAUGGGAUCAUGUCAGAAAGACACCUACUUACUUUGUCCUAGUGAAAGAAUAAAUAUUUCACAGAACACACAGUUGUGUGGACACUUGAGAAAGAAAUAUUCGUUACUUUGAGUAUCAUUCUAAAUUUACCCUUCCUCCCCUCCCCAGCCCCAUGUAAGUCCAAAGUUUGUGAAUUUUUAGUAUAAAGUAAAAUAGGAAAAAUACCUUUUUAUAUUUCCUAUAUGCUAAAUCUUACUGUGAAACAGUAAAAAUAAUAGGUGAAAUCACACAUGUAACAACUUUAGAAGAGAAGAAAACAUACACUUUUAAAGAUGGAAGGAGUCAUCUUUUUAGACACUAAAUGGUUUGAUAUACAAGGGAAAGUCAACUUUAAAAUUUACAAUGUGGCAAAAAUGACAUAAAGGACAUAUUUUACAAUCACAGAGUAAGUAUAAAAAGGCAAAUUUCACAGGUUCUUGGUAAUUUCCCGUAGAGUCACCUCUGUGUUCUUUGAUCCAGUCUAAUUUUAAUGACUUCUAAGGAACAGGCAAAUAUGUUUCUGGGUAUUUUGCUCUCAGGAACAGCUAGCUCAUAGUGCUAGCAUUCGUCUAUAUUGUGUCAACCAGUAAACUGCACAAAGUGCUUAAGGUAUCUUCCAUUUGUUUCUCAAUCAUCCUGUUCCUUAGUUUUGUUCUUUUCUUAUAGUUUGCCUUACAUCCAUUUGAAGUUUUAAAAUAUCAAAUAUUAAUGCAUAUUUAGAAUACAUGCUUUUCAACCUUAGUGCUUAGUCAAGAAUUAUAGAUAUUACAAGGAAAAAUAAGCCUUCAACUAUUAAUAUUUCUGAGUUUUAACUCCUUAGCCAUCUCUGAAUGUUUAACUAAAAUUGUAGGUUUGGGGAUGAUUAUAUUAAAAACCUCAAGUGGUCAUUAAAACAACUUUUUUUUUUUUUUUUAAUUCCACUGAUUCAUGUUCAUGCCUUGGAUGGUUUGGUAAAGUUUUAUAACUGCACCAUGUGGAGAAAGAAAAAAAAAACACAACAGAAACAAUUUAAAAAUCCUGAAAACAUGUUUAAAAUGGUUCGAGGAACAUUUUUAAAGAGGGAAAUAGACUGCAAAACAAACUGCCAAUCCUUUGCUCUAUGAUUCCCUGCUUAGGGACCUCUUUCCAUUCAUUUUCCCUUCUUUUGCAAGGGGUAAUGACUUUGGGGGUUGUUUGGGCUUUUUUUGUUGCUGUUGUUGUUUCUGCUGAGUCACUAAAUUUUGCAUCUUUGCCCCAAGAUGCUACUCAGCAUAAAAGUUAAAAGCUCAAUUCAGAAAACAUCGCAUUUGUGUGUGGAGCAGAGGAAACCAUUUCCCUAAGAGAAGCUCAAUGACUUGGCUUGUCCUUCCUUCCCGGUAAGGAAGCUUCCAGGGAGAGAAGGGAUCAAAUCCGCUUUGCCGAGAGAAGCAUCCCAGCGCUGUAGCUGAUAAUUCCGAGGUGGCUGUUAAAUGCGGAGCUUCCUAGGCGGGCCUGGGUGGCUCAGCCCAAUGCAGAAGUCUCCCCCUUCUCUAAAGACCCAAAUCCCUACAGAACCAGCUUUGGAGUUACUUUCCCUUCAAGGAGACCGAAAUAAUUGUGAUUUGUGGUGCUC